GACCUUUUUGCUUUGCUCUGUGUUUAAAUCUGGAGUAUUUUGCACUGCACAACUGUUUGAACCCCCAGGCAUGCUGCAAUGAGAAAAGGAUGAAAUAGAGGAAGGCAGCGGAGAAGUAACAGAAAUUCAGCAGUAAAGUAGCAGAUGGGUUCCAGCAGAGUUCUGCUUUGAUUUAUGUCCAGCCAAGCACAUCAGGCCCAGGUUUGGGGCCCGGAGGAGUCCAAACCAGAAGCUGUCUGAGGAGCUCCUCACCAAGAGAGGAGCAGCUGAAUCACCAGGUCUUGAAGAAAUGAAGUGUAAGAGGGUGGGCAGCGCGAUUCCCGAGUAUCUCCAGAGUCAUCACCCAUUGCCUCAGGGUUCAGAAGUGCCUGGCAGACACCCUGGAAAGCAACCCAGGGAGUCCCCAGCAGGCCAGAUUUCAUCACAGUGUGUAACCAAAAGUUUCGUGAGAGUAUAUUUUUUGGAUUUGUAUAAUUUUUCGAAGCUAUGCAGACAGCUUCCAUGCAAUUUCUUCUAACCUAACUCACUCACUCUGCAUCUCAAACACGCGCACCAGGAAUGCAGCAGUCUGGCAUGAGUUGCUCAUGAGAGGGAAGAGGAGCCAGCUGCUAUUUAUACAUGACAUACACUAUGCCCACACUCUUAGCAAGUGACUUCAGACUGUGGCAUGGAAAAAUACUUGAGGAACAGACCCUCGUUUUAUUUCAGUUUUAGGAAUCCCAUCAGCACACUCACUGAAGAAAAAGCUCCUAGAAAAGCUGCAUGCAAACACAUAGAGCUAGAUUUUAAAACCGUGUUAGUUUUGGCCUGCCUCUGCUCUCUCUGGAGUUAUUUUGGCCAGCACUCUCCAUUUCUGAGAAUCUCGCAGAUAGAAUUACAAGAGGGAGACUUCUUCACACACACACACACACUCUGAUGCACUGCAGGAACAUUUCUGGCACCUUUAAAGAACCUGACUUCUCUGGAGCUGGGGAUACCAUAGAAGGUAUAAAAAAUUACAGGCAGUGUAUCCAUAUUUCUAUGGCACCCAUUUUAAAUUCCACUGAACUGUGUGAAACACUUACAUUGGAUCAAAUAAGAAAGAUCUUCUGAAUAAAUAAAGUAAGGAAGCUUGGGUGACAGAGCAAAGACUAUUU
ensembl:lncRNA